rnacentral:rRNA from 1 species
GACGAACGCUGGCGGCGUGCUUAACACAUGCAAGUCGAACGAAGAGCGAUGGAAGCUUGCUUCUAUCAAUCUUAGUGGCGAACGGGUGAGUAACGCGUAAUCAACCUGCCCUUCAGAGGGGGACAACAGUUGGAAACGACUGCUAAUACCGCAUACGAUCUAAUCUCGGCAUCGAGGAUAGAUGAAAGGUGGCCUCUACAUGUAAGCUAUCACUGAAGGAGGGGAUUGCGUCUGAUUAGCUAGUUGGAGGGGUAACGGCCCACCAAGGCGAUGAUCAGUAGCCGGUCUGAGAGGAUGAACGGCCACAUUGGGACUGAGACACGGCCCAGACUCCUACGGGAGGCAGCAGUGGGGAAUCUUCCGCAAUGGACGAAAGUCUGACGGAGCAACGCCGCGUGAGUGAUGACGGCCUUCGGGUUGUAAAGCUCUGUUAAUCGGGACGAAAGGCCUUCUUGCGAAUAGNGAGAAGGAUGAC